rnacentral:rRNA from 1 species
UACGGAGGGUGCAAGCGUUGUUCGGAAUUACUGGGCGUAAAGCGCGCGUAGGCGGUUAGUUAAGUCAGAUGUGAAAGCCCAUGGCUCAACCAUGGACGUGCAUUUGAAACUGACUGACUUGAGUAUUGGAGGGGGUGGUGGAAUUCCCGGUGUAGAGGUGAAAUUCGUAGAUAUCGGGAGGAAUACCAGUGGCGAAGGCGACCACCUGGCCAAAUACUGACGCUAAUGUGCGAAAGCGUGGGGAGCAAACAGGAUUAGAUACCCUGGUAGUCCACGCCGUAAACGAUGUCAACUAGGUGUUGGGACGGUUAAUCGUCUCAUUGCCGCAGCUAACGCAUUAAGUUGACCGCCUGGGGAGUACGGUCGCAAGAUUAAA